CCCGCGGUAAUUCCAGCUCUUUUAGCGUACAUUAUCAUUGUUGCAGUUAAAAAGCUCGUAGUUGGAUUUUUGUUUCUAGUUGCUCGGUUCUCCGCGGCGGCAUUUGUCGUCGUGUGAGAGCUGGCCGGAGACAUUUCUCGUCGUUCGUCGUGGCAACACGGCGGAAGGCGAAAUUACUUUGAGAAAAAUAGAGUGUUCCAAGCAGGCGUCACGCCACGAAUACUUCAGCAUGGAAUAAAACCAACGGGCUUUCGUCCUUUUGGUGGGUUCUGGACCAAGUCAUGAUUGAUAGGGACGGUUGGGGGUGCUCGUAUUCCGGGGCCAGAGGUGAAAUUCUUGGAUUCUCGGAAGACGAACAACUGCGAAAGCAUUCACCAAGGACGUUUUCUUUAAUCAAGAACGAAAGUUGGGGGAUCGAAGACGAUCAGAUACCGUCGUAGUCUCAACCAUAAACGAUGCCAACUGAGAAUUCUUUCCAGUCUCUCGUGGGACACGUGCCGCAAGGUAACGGCCCACGAAUCGACGGAAGGGGCGCUCUGUGAGAAAUCAAAGUUUUCGGGUUCCGGGGAGAGUAUUGUCGCAAGGCACAAAUUUAAAGGAAUUGAUGGGAGUUUAUCAUCGGGAAUGGAUUGUGCGGCUCAAAUUGACCCAACACGGGAAAACUUACCAGGUCCGUACAGAGUGAGGAGAAACAGACUGAAGUUCUUUUUUGAUUCUUUGGGUGGUGGUGCAUGGCCGUUCUUAGUUGGUGGUGUGGACUGUCUGGUUAAUUCCGUUAACGAACGAGACUUCUACCCUGAAUUUACAUUAUAACUAGUUUUCAAUGUCUGUCAAAGGACAUUUUUUCAUACGAUAAACUUCUUAGGGGGACUAUGUGCAAUAAGCUCAUGGAGGCGGGAAGCGAUAGCAGGUCAUUGAUGCCCUUAGAAAACCUGGGCCGCACGCGCAAUACACUGGACGGAUCAGCGUGUUCAUAGUUUCUCGUUGUGGGGCAACUUGCAGCGAGAAGACCUUGUUCGAGAGGACCGGGAAAUCAUUUAAAUCCGUCCGUGCUGGGGAUUGAGCAUUGCAAUUAUUGCUCAUGAACGAGGAAUUCCUUGUAGACGUACGUCAUCAGCGUACAUCGAAUACAUCCCUUGACUUUAUACACACCGCCCGUCGCUGUUACCGAUUGAAUGUUUUAGUGAGCUGUGAGGAGAAGAGUUGGGCAACUGAUUUUCCGAAUCACAUCAAACUUGAACAUUUAGAGGAAGCAAAAGUCGUAACAAGGUCCCCGUAGGUGAACCUGCGGGGG
rnacentral:rRNA from 1 species